rnacentral:rRNA from 1 species
AAAUAAUUUUUAAGGCAAAGAUAGAUAGAUAUUUUAAUGUAAAUAAAGUUAUAUGGAAAAUUAUGAGUUUAAUGUAAGAAAUUAAUUAAUUAAUUAAAAUUAUAUGGGGAGUAAUGUAAAAGAAAGGAAUUUAAAUAAGAUAAAGUAAAUUUAGUUUAUUGUACCUUUUGUAUCAGGGGUUAUUAAAAAUAUUUUUUGGAUGGUAAAUUUUCUCGAAGUUGAAAGAGCGAAUAAGAUAUGAUAGUUAAUGUGGAAAAAUUAUUAUAAAUAUUUUAUUAGUGAAUAUAUUUUAGUCAAUUUCAAGGAUAUCUAGUUUUUUUUGAUGAAAUUAAAUUUAAUUUUAAUUUUUAAUAUUAUUUAAGUUAAGAUAAAGAUAUUAAUAAAUUGAAAAUAGAAAUUAUGGGAUAAUCUAUAAUUUUUUUUAAAAUUAUUUGGGCGAAGAAUUUAUAAAAAUAUUCAUAAAAUUUGAAUUUUUUGAUAAAAAUUUAAUAAUUUAUAAAGCAUGAGAGUAUAGGAAUAAUGAUUUAUAAGAAGGUAAUUUAAUAAAAAAAAAAAAUAUUCAUUAGAAUAAGAAAAAUGAAGAAAGAAUGGUAAUAUUAGUAAAAUAUGAAAUUUUAAAAUUGAAAGGUAAGGAUAAAUUAAUUUUAAGAAUUAGGCAAAAUGGUAAGUUCACCUGUUUAAUAAAAACAUGGUCUUUUGAUUAUGAUUUAAGAUUGUUUCUGCCCACUGAGGUAAUAUUUAAAUGGCUGCAGUAUUUUAACUGUACAAAGGUAGCAUAAUAAGUAGUUUUUUAAAUGGAAACUGGGAUGAAAGAAGUGAUGAGAUUUACACUGUUUUAAGUUGAAUUUAUUGAAUUUAGUAAUUAAGUAAGAAUGCUUAGAUGAGAGCAUGGGACGAGAAGACCCUAUAGAAUUUUAUAUAAAUUUAUUAAGUUAGUUAGAAAGAAUUUAUUAUUAAAUUUAUAUUUUAUUGGGAGGAUCAUUAAAUUAAGUAAACUUUAAUAAUGUUAUAAAUCAUUGAUUUAUGAGUGGAAAGAAGGAUGGUUUUUAAAUUAAAAUAGAAUUAAUUACCUUAGGGAUAACAGCAUAAUAUUUUUAGAGAGAUCUUAUUGAUAAAAAUGAUUGUGACCUCGAUGUUGAAUUAAGAUAAAAAUUAAAUGCAGAAGUUUAAUAUUUAAGUCUGUUCGACUUUUAAAAUCUUACAUGAUUUGAGUUUAGAUCGGUGUGAGCCAGAUCGGAUUCUAUCUGUGUUAAUAUUAAAAUUAUUUGUACGAAAGGACUUUAAUUUUUAAUUAUAUUAAAAAAGAAAUAAAAUUAUCUUGGCAGAAUAGUGCAUUAAAUUUAGAGUUUAAAAUAAGAUAU